rnacentral:lncRNA from 1 species
AGUUUUUGACCCGGCAAUGUAAACCUUCUAAAACAAUAACAAAUCCAACAUCCCCUCAUACGCACAAAACUUUACCACGUUUCAAUUGAAGUCGGCAGUGAGCAAUCUUUCUAUGAUAAUUCUUCUACCUUUUCAAUCUUCGUCUAGGUUUAAAUCAUCUGUUUGCGAUAAUCCCUAACUCAAUUUCAUUUUUUGUGAGAAACAAGCCCUCAUCUUCAAUUGGGUCUGAUUUCAUCUUUUGCGACAAAAAGUCUGAUUUGAUUGGAUUCAAUUUCAUCAUUUGCUACGGACAAUCCUAGCAUUCGAUCGGUGCUUCCUUCAUCUUCAAUUUCGCAGAGUUGUUCUCCUUACUAAAAUCGUCUAGCUUAUUCUCCAAAGUACAACGUCUCAAACUACUAAAGGUAUUCUCGACACUUCAUUUUCUAGUUUUCGUCACAACAUGCUUGCAAAUUAUUUUUAUUAAAGAGGUAAUAAUAGAUUGGUUUAAUAUUUAUAUUCAUCUUAUAAUUUCUUACUUUUUUCAGCCAUUGCUUGCGUGGUGUAAGAAGCUACAAUGCACAAGUAGUCAAGCACUAAGUAUGAAAAUCAGGUUCUGAGCUUAUGAGAGUGUUUGAAAUCACUUAGCUAAACUGCUUAUCUAAUUAUUUAUGAGAAAAAAUAAGCAGUUUGAAGCUGUGUAUUCCGACUGAUUAUUCAAUAAUCCACAAUGAGUUGAAUGUAACUUGUAAGGUGAAUCAAGCAUCGAUUAUGGUCUUCGGUUGCCUAUUGAUCUAAACAAAUGAACAAAACACUGAUAUAUCCAAUUCCAAUGUUGUAAAAAAGGGUUCGCUUUUUAUUUAAUUUAAUGGUGGAAAACAUACGUGCACGCUUUUUAUCAAGCAUCGAUUAUGGUCUUUUGCCUUUUUUUUCUUUUCAACUCCUCAAAUAAUCUUCGUUGCUGCUAUCUCAUGUGUGCUUUGCAGUUAUGGGAUGCUUUAUCUUAAAGAGUUGUCAUUAGUCUAUGGCAAAGUUGCUUGAAUGAAUGUUUCAACCUUUUCCAACCAUGUUGAAUAAAGAAUGUUUCAUUUGAUGAUGUAGCCAACAGUUAAGUAAGGUAAAACAUCGGGUUUAGAUCUUGCUUUUGAAAUUGAUAUCAGGAAAUUUGAUUUAAGACCGAUAAUUUCAGUUGCUACUCUUUAUAAGUAGUAGUUGUGUAUUCUGUUAAAAUGAAAACUGACUUUUAUAUACCUGGUAUAGCAUGAUUAACAAGACUGACAAAGAAACUCUUACAUCAGACCCAAAUUUGGUUAACUUAUAUUUGACUUAACACUAUACCCAUGAAAGUUAUAGUCAAUCUCCACAUGGUAUUUUUUGAUAUAAAAUUUGGAUUAUUAGGUCUAACUCUAGGCAUUCGAGCAAGUCUUAAAACUACAUUUUCUAGAGAUGUGGAUAGGUGAACUAUGGACAUUGAAUACAGACCUGGAUAGGUGAACUAUGGACUUUGAAUACAGGAAUUUAAUUACGUGAAUAUAAAGGUAUAUUUAAACACCAUAACCCAAAUGGCCAUUGCUUACACGACUUUAUGAUCUUCAAUAUUUAGGUGUAGAUCAAUCUACUAUUGUUAAACUUGUGAGUUUGUGUGUUGUUCUAAAAUAACCUGAACCAUUGAGAAUUUCAAAACCUUAUCUUUUCAUCUAAAGUUGACUCGUGGCCUUAACCCGUGACUAAGUUUAUAAAAAAAUUAUAACUCUUUUUUUAGCGAAGACAUUCAUAUGUCAAACUUUUUGUAUGAUUUUAAUUAUAAAUAGUUUUUAAUAUAAGUAACUUGUUCGAGCCUGGGAAGAAAUCGUGGGUGAUAACCUAGUUUGAUAUAUAAGAAAAACCAAAACAAAACUUAUUUGAAAAGAAAAAAACACUACUAGAAAAGAUCUUAGUUUUGUGAUAUUCCUACCAAAAACUUAUUUGAAAAGA